UUUUUAAAAGCCAAAAUUCCCUAUUCACUGUCAUUUAAAAGAUAUUAAAAACGCUCAAUUUAAUUCGAUUAUUAUUGUCAAAAAGGCAAACUGCAAUUUUUUAGUACAAAAAAUAAAACAUUUUUGAAACAAAUUUAAAAAUUGUUUAUUUUUUAAAAGCCAAAAUUCCCUUUUCCAUUCACUGUCAUUUAAAAGCUAUUAAAAACACUCAAUUUAAAUCGGUUAUUAUGCAACGUAAAAAAGAUGAGUAUCAUAUUUUAAAACAGGUAGAAACUAACCAAAAAAGUGAUAACCCAAACUGAAACCCACAAGAAAAGACGCGCACUGUAUAAAGGUAAUUAAAAUAUAAAACUUACCAGUUGUAGGGUCGUAGGGAAAUGGACAUCGCACUUCUGUAUUCAUUGCACUGAAUAUAGUCUAUAAUACACAUGCAACGUAUUUAUACACAUGCACUCCCUUCCAUGGUUGAAUUAAAAGUCGAAAGGUCUUCUACCCACAAGCACCAACGCCGAUUUGAAUAGACGCGAUGUUGUCGCCAGACAACCGUGCAGGUAGAAGUCUCAAGGUCAACACGCUUUCACACGGGAACGCAACCGUUUCGGACGUUGGACGAACGUAUGUUGCCGCAAAAGAUCAAGGCCAACUUGCUUUCAUUUUUUACAAUCUCCGUAUGGGAUGUGGAAUUUCAAAACGCGCCGAGUCUAAAUGUCAAGUUGUUUUGCUUGUUGAGAAUAAUAAUUAAUUGCCCCCUUUAUAUUUGCUCCGUGGGAUUAACGUAAUGGGAAAAAUUUGUUGCAACGCAUGUGGAGGUGUCUUCGUUUGUUAACUUUUAGAAAGUAUUCUCGCACCGUAUAAAUACAUCUCAUUUUUCUCUGUUUUGUCAGUAGUUGUUUUUGGUAUUAUUCGUGCAACGUGGAAGCUAACUUAGUGGUUUGGUGUUCGUACAAAAAAGCAUUCCUAAAGAUCAUCUUAGUACUCUCAACCCGUAACCGCAAAUAGAAUAGCAGCAAUCUUAAGCAUGGACUUAAGUCAACUGAAUCAAACCUGUCUUGCAGAAGGUGAUUUUGAGCAGCCGAUUGUCAAACUGCAUGAAUUGCCGAUAGGCGUUCCGUUUAAAAUUACUAGAGCCAAAAUUGUUAAUACAAAAUUUGGCAAUUCCGUGUUGCUGCAAUUAGAAAAUUCCGUAGUAUUUCUUCCUACUCGCGUGACAGAAGCUUUCCGUCCGAGACUAGAACACUUUGCGUCGGGGCAGUACAAACUGGUCUACGAGGGAUCCAAAGAUAUUGGAAAGCCCAACUCUUUAAAGAAAUUCAAAAUAAUUCAAAAUUAAUCAACAUAUUAUACAGGAUUAUGGUCAAACAACUUACAUUAGAAAGCCUUUGUAUUAUAACAAUUUGCGAAAAUAUUAGGUGUAGUGCUGAUUUUUUGCGUGAGUCACCUUUGCCUUGGAAACUAACGAUACUAAUAUUUAAAUAUUAUUCGAAAUAUAGAUGGAGG